rnacentral:rRNA from 1 species
UACGUAGGGUGCAGGCGUUAAUCGGAAUUACUGGGCGUAAAGCGUGCGCAGGCGGUCUCUUAAGACAGGUGUGAAUCCCCGGCUUAACCUGGGAACUGCGCUUGUAACUGAGAGGCUAGAGUGUGGCAGAGGGGGGGUGGAAUUCCACGUGUAGCAGUGAAAUGCGUAGAGAUGUGGAGGAACACCGAUGCGAAGGCAGCCCCCUGGCUAACACUGACGCUCAUGCACGAAGCGUGGGGAGCAAACAGG